rnacentral:lncRNA from 1 species
UUCAUUAAGUGGUAAAAGACUCUUAUAUCCUUGUUAUCUAUAUAUAUAAUAAAUCAUUACUUAAAUGAAAAAAAUAAAUAAAUAAAUAAAAUAAAUAAAUAAAAUAAAAUAAAAUAAAUAAAAAAAUAAAUUUAUGUUUUCGAAUUAUACUUUUUCAAAUUCGAAAUUUUUAAUAAUUUUUUUUUGAAUUUUUUUUCGAAAACUUUUUUAUUUUUAUCUUUUUUCAAAUUUAUUUUUGAAAAUCAAAAAUUAUGUUUGAAACUAUUUUUAAAUUUUUUAUAUAUUUUUAAGUAUUUAUUUAUAUAUUUAUUAGAAUCCUAAAUUUCACAUUCCAAAAGCCUUACUCCACCCCUCAA